rnacentral:rRNA from 1 species
GUGGGGAAUAUUGCACAAUGGGCGCAAGCCUGAUGCAGCAACGCCGCGUGAGGGAUGACGGCCUUCGGGUUGUAAACCUCUUUUAGUAGGGAAGAAGCGUAAGUGACGGUACCUGCAGAAAAAGCACCGGCUAACUACGUGCCAGCAGCCGCGGUAAUACGUAGGGUGCAAGCGUUGUCCGGAAUUAUUGGGCGUAAAGAGCUCGUAGGCGGCUUGUCGCGUCUGCUGUGAAAACCCGAGGCUCAACCUCGGGCUUGCAGUGGGUACGGGCAGGCUAGAGUGCGGUAGGGGAGAUUGGAAUUCCUGGUGUAGCGGUGGAAUGCGCAGAUAUCAGGAGGAACACCGAUGGCGAAGGCAGAUCUCUGGGCCGUAACUGACGCUGAGGAGCGAAAGCAUGGGGAGCGAACAGGAUUAGAUACCCGGUAGUCC